rnacentral:rRNA from 1 species
CGGACGGGUGAGUAACGCGUGAGAAUUUAGCUUCAGGUUCGGGACAACCACUGGAAACGGUGGCUAAUACCGAAUGUGCCGAGAGGUGAAAGGCUUGCUGCCUGAAGAAGAGCUUGCGUCUGAUUAGCUAGUUGGUGUGGUAAAGGCCUACCAAGGCGACGAUCAGUAGCUGGUCUGAGAGGAUGAUCAGCCACACUGGGACUGAGACACGGCCCAGACUCCUACGGGAGGCAGCAGUGGGGAAUUUUCCGCAAUGGGCGAAAGCCUGACGGAGCAAUACCGCGUGAGGGAGGAAGGCUCUUGGGUUGUAAACCUCUUUUCUCAAGGAAGAAGAAAGUGACGGUACUUGAGGAAUAAGCAUCGGCUAACUCCGUGCCAGCAGCCGCGGUAAUACGGAGGAUGCAAGCGUUAUCCGGAAUGAUUGGGCGUAAAGGGUCCGCAGGUGGCAUUGUUUGUCUGCUGUUAAAGAGUUUGGCUCAACCAAAUAAGAGCAGUGGAAACUACAAAGCUAGAGUAUGGUCGGGGCAGAGGGAAUUCCUGGUGUAGCGGUGAAAUGCGUAGAUAUCAGGAAGAACACCGGUGGCGAAGGCGUUUUGCUAGACCGCAACUGACACUGAGGGACGAAAGCUAGGGGAGCGAAUGGGAUUAGAUACCCCAGUAGUCCUAGCCGUAAACGAUGGAUACUA